AAAGUUGAAAAGAACUUUGAAGAGAGAGUUCAAGAGUACGUGAAACCGUUCAGGGGUAAACCUGAGAAACCCAAAAGAUCGAAUGGGGAGACUCAUCGUCAGCUCAUUUUGUAUAUAUAUAAGUUAUGAUAUAGGUUACUACUUUAUUGUAGUAUUGCUUGUACAUUCUUGUAUAUUUAUUUGCAAAAUGUUGUCGACGUGCACUUCUCCCCUAGUAGAACGUCGCGACCCGUUGAAUGUCAAUCUACGGCCCAAGUGAUUUAGAUUUUAAUAAAUAAAUUUUAUUUAUUAAAAACACUUGGUGUUAAAUUAUAAACCUGAUUGUCAUUUGUCGGUAUACAUAUGGUAUUGAGCCGCAAUAAUUAAUAAUAUGCGUCUAUAUCCAUCACAAGCAAGGUUAAUUUACUAAUAGUUACGGACUUUGUGCCGUCAUUGGUAUUAAUCAGCUGUUAGUUGUAUGGAUUUCUAAGACUGGCUUAAAAAUAAUAAAUAAUACCUGUCAGCGAUGCUACUGCUUUGGGUACUUUCAGGACCCGUCUUGAAACACGGACCAAGGAGUCUAACAUGUACGCAAGUCAUUGGGAUUUUUUAAUAAACUAAACCUAAAGGCGUAAUGAAAGUAAAGAUUAACCUUGUGUUAAUUAAGGGAGGAUAAACUAUGUUCAUAUAAAUUUUUUUUAUAAAAAUUUAUUAUAUAUAGUUUCGCACUCCCGGGGCGUCUCAUUCUCAUUAUGAGAAGAGGCGCACCUAGAGCGUACACGUU
rnacentral:rRNA from 1 species